rnacentral:pre_miRNA from 1 species
AGCGAGUGAUGGAGCCAAGGAUGACUUGCCAGCAUCUAUCACUCAGCAGGAAUCUGAAGGGGUUUUGUACGACGUCAUCGUAUGCAGGGGAGAGUUGGCAAGUAUCCUUGGCUACAUAUCUCGGAGU